UCCAUGGUAGAAUUGAGAACUGCAAGAACGAUUUUCAACCGACUACAAAAAUCUGUCAAGUUUACUAUAAUUUACCAGAUUACCAGAUACUGAGCAGUGCAGUAAAUGUGACUAUGUCUAUAGUAGCAUCCACUACAAAGCAUUGUAUUUCUAUCCAUGAUACCCACCGUACAACAUAGUGUGCAGUGAUGGAAAGUGGCGAUCAUUUCUUCUGAACUGGAACAAAAACAAAACCAAACGAUUCCGAGCGUCAGAGCGCUGAAUCGCUUGGUUGCAACAUGAAGACGGUUCUUGAUCUCCUCCACCGCGACCAAGCCAAGCCAGUAGUCCUCAAUCAACACAAGGACGAACAGUUACACCGAAAGCAUGGUGCACUUCCUCGUGACUUCCGAAAAGGCGACAUGGUCUAGGCCAAGCUCUACCGCAGCAACACCAAGUGGCAGUGGACUUCGGCCGUAAUCAUCGAGCAUCGUUCUAGUGAAACAACAACCGGAGCAGCAGAUUCCACACCACUGGGUAUCCUGGCGGAUAUGUUUGGACUUCAAUCUCCAAGACCAACUAUACAGCACGUCACGCAAAAAGGCCAAUCCGAACAGAAACCACUUCCUGUUCCCAUCUAACCACGAAACGAACUUUGCGACUAUGCUUUUGAUCGAUCUUUGUUCUAAGUGUUCCAUCUUUUUGUCUGUGUUUGAUCAUACUCGACAUAAUACAUACUACCAAAAACGCU